GAUGAACGCUAGCGGCAGGCCUAAUACAUGCAAGUCGAACGGGCGGUAGCAAUACCGCUAGCGGCGCACGGGUGCGUAACGCGUAACCAACCUGCCCAGAUCUGGGGGAUAGCCCGCCGAAAGGCGGAUUAAUACCGCAUAAACCCACAGUGUGGCAUCACAUAAUGGGUAAAGAUUUAUCGGAUCUGGAUGGGGUUGCGUAGCAUUAGCUAGUUGGCGGGGUAAUGGCCCACCAAGGCGACGAUGCUUAGGGGACCUGAGAGGGUGAUCCCCCACACUGGCACUGAGAUACGGGCCAGACUCCUACGGGAGGCAGCAGUAGGGAAUAUUGGGCAAUGGGCGAGAGCCUGACCCAGCCAUGCCGCGUGCCGGAUGAAGGCCUUCUGGGUUGUAAACGGCUUUUCUCAGGGAAGAAAACGGGGAUGCGUCCUCAACUGACGGUACCUGAGGAAUAAGCACUGGCUAACUCCGUG
rnacentral:rRNA from 1 species